GUCAAUACCUCACCAAAAUCACAACCAAUGUUUGGCUCAAAACUUGCCUAAUGGGAGUGUUUUCCCUUUUAUUAUUUCUCUUUUUGUAUAGGCCCAUCAGAGUGAUUUCCUGAGUUCUCUCACACAUGGUCAGCGAAUGGAUUAUCCAGUCGCAGUACAUAAUGAAAGACUUGCCGAAGGUAGAAGAAGCUGAGUGAAUCUUCAGAGUGAUUCUUCAGAGAGAAGAUGUUAUGAUGUCUCACAAGAACCAAUGAAAUCUGGGAGACCUCAGAGUAUGUCCUUGCUGUGACUGUGCAAAAACAGCUAUGUUAUGCCCGUGAACGGAUUGGUGUUUAAAAGGCCCUGCGUUCAACAGUGUCUCUGUUUAAUGUGAAGAAAAUCCAUCACAUUUGCAUCAGAGGAGGAGCUUCAGUUACUGAAUAGUCCUAAACAAUGAACUGUGGUAAUGUUUCAAUUUCUAAAUGUUUCAAGAAGUACAGUUGUGUUUGUCUUUGAGUUUUGUAUGGUACCUGUAUGUGGUCAUUAAAAAUUGAAUUAAAAUUGAAUUGCUUUUCCAAAUUCAUUUUGCUGAUGUAUGUUUAUGAUAUUGCCUCAAUUUUCCAGAGUCCUCU